AGAGUUUGAUCCUGGCUCAGAACGAACGCUGGCGGCGCGCUUAAUACAUGCAAGUCUAACGAGAAAAUUCGGCUUCGGCUGGAUGAGUAAAGUGGCGAACGGGUGAGUAACACGUGGGCAAUCUGCCCUCACGUUUGGGAUAAGCCUGGGAAACUGGGUCUAAUACCGAAUACCGUCGCGAGAAGGAUUCUUUUUGCGAUGAAAGGCGGGGUAACCUGCCGCGUGGGGAUGAGCCCGCGCUCCAUUAGCUUGUUGGUAGGGUAACGGCCUACCAAGGCGACGAUGGAUAGCCGGCCUGAGAGGGUGAACGGCCACACUGGGACUGAGAUACGGCCCAGACUCCUACGGGAGGCAGCAGUAAGGAAUCUUGCGCAAUGGACGAAAGUCUGACGCAGCGACGCCGCGUGGAUGAUGAAGCAUUUCGGUGUGUAAAAUCCUUUCAGCAGGGAAGAACCGCGAGGGUAGUAACUGACCUUCGCCUGACGGUACCUGCAGAAGAAGUCCCGGCUAACUCCGUGCCAGCAGCCGCGGUAAUACGGGGGGGACAAGCGUUGUUCGGAUUCACUGGGCGUAAAGGGCGUGUAGGCGGACUAGUAAGUCGGGUGUGAAAUCCCACGGCUCAACCGUGGGCCUGCAUCUGAAACUACUA
rnacentral:rRNA from 1 species